rnacentral:rRNA from 1 species
CCUACGGGAGGCAGCAGUGAGGAAUAUUGGUCAAUGGCCGUAAGGCUGAACCAGCCAAGUAGCGUGAGGGAAGACUGCCCUAUGGGUUGUAAACCUCUUUUAUGCGGGGAUAAAGGUGUCCACGUGUGGAUGUUUGCAGGUACCGCAUGAAAAAGCAUCGGCUAACUCCGUGCCAGCAGCCGCGGUAAUACGGAGGAUGCGAGCGUUAUCCGGAUUUAUUGGGUUUAAAGGGUGCGUAGGCGGGCACUUAAGCCGGCGGUCAAAUGUCGGGGCUCAACCCCGGCCUGCCGUCGGAACUGGGUGCCUUGAGUGGGCGAGAAGUAUGCGGAAUGCGUGGUGUAGCGGUGAAAUGCAUAGAUAUCACGCAGAACCCCGAUUGCGAAGGCAGCAUACCGGCGCCCUACUGACGCUGAGGCACGAAAGUGCGGGUAUCGAACAGGAUUAAAUACCCGAGUAGUC